CCCUAGCCAGUCACCGUCGCGGCCCUCCGCCAGUCACCGUCGUCGCCCUCCGCCAGACACCGCCGUUGAGCGUUCACUGCAGAUCAGCCCAAACAGAUCAGCCAAGCCGCGCCGCCACUCGUCCCGAGCGAGUCGAACGCCACCCGCGACUGCAGCCAACUUGCAAGUCGCGUCGCUCCGCCUCGAUCCGCUCCGCGCCGCCGCCGGUCAAAUGCAUGCAGCCGCUCCGCGUCUCUCCGCUCCGACUCGCAAGCCGCAUCGUUCCACCCCGACUCGCAAGCUGCGUCACUCUGCCCCGACUCGCCAGCCGUGUUGCUCCGCCCCGACUCGCCAGCCGCGUCGCUCCACGCCUCGACCCGCAAGUCGUGCCACUCCAUGCCCGCGCGCUCGCUCCAACCCACCAGCCGCGCCAACGCCCUUCUUCGCGAGCCGACUUCUAGCCGAGCCGCGUCCCCCUUCUGCCGCAAGCCGAGUCGACACCUGCCCUCAAGCCGAGCCGAUCCCUGCUUUUCCAGUCGAGUCGCUAAGCCUUUUUGAGCCACCUAGCUUUUUCGGUCCUUUCCCCACCUGUCAUUGGGCCGAUUGGACCAUUUGGAGUUGGAGCGUGGGAUUUCUCGACUUAAAGGAAAUUAUUGCAACCUUGAUCUUGGGGCCUCGCUGCUUGGAAAGCGCAUUCUCUUGCUGUUAAAGUUCGAUCGAGCAAAUCUCCUGGUAAGAGAUUUCUACUACUAGAUCUACGACUACAAUCAUGAGACCGCAUGCAUUCCUAGUUAUGCACUUGAGGACUAGACUGCAUAACGAUAUGUUAAUUAUUGAGGGCAUGAUGUAACUGUUGAUGUGAAUUAUUAUGAUGGCAUGGUAUAAUGUGU